CAGAGUAGGGUUCGGCGCGUCAAGUGCUGCGGGAUGGGAAGUUGUCCGCAGACGAAGUCAUCCGGAAUAUGCCGUGAUGGCGCGGUGCCGCUCCCGCGUCCGCUGC
rnacentral:ncRNA from 1 species